CCCCUUCGGGGGUGAUGCUUGUGGAAUGAGCGGCGGACGGGUGAGUAACACGUGGGCAACCUGCCUGUAAGACUGGGAUAACCCCGGGAAACCGGGGCUAAUACCGGGUAAUACCUGACUCCGCAUGGAGUCGGGUUGAAAGAUGGCUUCUCGCUAUCACUUACAGAUGGGCCCGCGGCGCAUUAGCUAGUUGGUGAGGUAACGGCUCACCAAGGCGACGAUGCGUAGCCGACCUGAGAGGGUGAUCGGCCACACUGGGACUGAGACACGGCCCAGACUCCUACGGGAGGCAGCAGUAGGGAAUCUUCCGCAAUGGACGAAAGUCUGACGGAGCAACGCCGCGUGAACGAUGAAGGUCUUCGGAUCGUAAAGUUCUGUUGUCAGGGAAGAACAAGUACCGUGCGAAUAGAGCGGUACCUUGACGGUACCUGACCAGAAAGCCACGGCUAACUACGUGCCAGCAGCCGCGGUAAUACGUAGGUGGCAAGCGUUGUCCGGAAUUAUUGGGCGUAAAGCGCGCGCAGGCGGUUUCUUAAGUCUGAUGUGAAAGCCCCCGGCUCAACCGGGGAGGGUCAUUGGAAACUGGGGAACUUGAGUACAGAAGAGGAGAGUGGAAUUCCACGUGUAGCGGUGAAAUGCGUAGAUAUGUGGAGGAACACCAGUGGCGAAGGCGACUCUCUGGUCUGUAACUGACGCUGAGGCGCGAAAGCGUGGGGAGCGAACAGGAUUAGAUACCCUGGUAGUCCACGCCGUAAACGAUGAGUGCUAGGUGUUAGGGGGCU
rnacentral:rRNA from 1 species